rnacentral:rRNA from 1 species
GACGAACGCUGGCGGCGUGCUUAACACAUGCAAGUCGAACGAUGAAGCUGGAGCUUGCUCUGGCGGAUUAGUGGCGAACGGGUGAGUAACACGUGAGAAAUCUGCCCUUGACUCUGGGAUAGCUGCGGGAAACUGUAGCUAAUACCGGAUACUUUCCCUGGUGGGCAUCCACUGGGGAAGAAAGAAUUUCGGUCAAGGAUGAUCUCGCGGCCUAUCAGCUUGUUGGUGAGGUAAUGGCUCACCAAGGCGACGACGGGUAGCCGGCCUGAGAGGGUGACCGGCCACACUGGGACUGAGACACGGCCCAGACUCCUACGGGAGGCAGCAGUGGGGAAUAUUGCACAAUGGGCGCAAGCCUGAUGCAGCAACGCCGCGUGAGGGAUGAAGGCCUUCGGGUUGUAAACCUCUUUUAGCAGGGAAGAAGCGAAAGUGACGGUGCCUGCAGAAAAAGCAUCGGCUAACUACGUGCCAGCAGCCGCCGUAA